UAAGGACCCGCUUGCGGGUCACACGAGUGGCGUACGGGUNCGUAACGCGUAUGCAACCUACCUUCAACUGGAGCAUAGCCCCGAGAAAUCCGGGAUUAAUACUCCAUAACAUCCAGCUUUCGCAUGUUAGCUGGAUUAAAGUCCCGACGGUUGAAGAUGGGCAUGCGUGACAUUAGUUUGUUGGGUGAGGUAACGGCUCACCAAGACCACGAUGUCUAGGGGGUUCUGAGAGGAUUAUCCCCCCACACUGGUACUGAGACACGGACCAGACUCCUACGGGAGGCAGCAGUAAGGAAUAUUGGUCAAUGGACGAAAGUCUGAACCAGCCAUGCCGCGUGCAGGAUGACAGCCCUAUGGGUUGUAAACUGCUUUUAUAUGGGAAGAAUCCCCCGUACGUGUACGGGGUUGACGGUACCGUAUGAAUAAGCAUCGGCUAACUCCGUG
rnacentral:rRNA from 1 species